ensembl:lncRNA
GGAGGCAGGACCGGCGCUGGCCGUGCUGUGCCGUGCCGUGCCGUGCCGUGCCAUGGCGGUGCCGGGGCGCCGGAGGGGGCGGCGCGGCCGUGCCGUGUGUGUAGCAGUGCGUGCCGUGUCGUCGUAGACCCAGUCGAUGUCUCAUGUAGCGCAGAGGUGCCCUGUAGCUCAGUGCCUAGGAGGUGACGUAGCGCCUCGAAUAAACGCAACGCGUGGAGUUUUACCCCGCCGGAGUCGUGUGCUCCCUGGGCUUCCCGAAUUGCUGCGGCCUGCUGGGGCAAUGCCCCCCGAAGGGCGCCCCAGGGCAGAGCACCGUGCUCUGCGGAGUGGCCCAGGCACGGCCGGAACGGCUCAGCGGAGCAAUGCAAGCGCCAGCGCCGGGUGCUCCGUUUGCAGAGGGAGGGCUGGGCAGGGGGUGCGCUGCCUGAUCGCAGCCUUGCUCCUGCCCGGCCUCUCCCGCAGGCAAGGAGAAAAGGCAGCCAGCGUGAUCCCUGGACGGGCAGCAAGGAUCGCGAGACGGGGAGCCAAAUUACUGCAGAGCGUGGCAUUAGCUAGAGCGCUGCUGGAGCCGGCUGCUUCGUCUGCCGUGAGCGUCACGCGGGAAAAGUUGGAAAUGGUUCAGACAAGAAAGUCUGAGGCCUGAAACACCUCCUGCAUGUUAAUGGAGCGAACCUCUCGAGGUGCUUGGGUUAGGGGAGGGCCGGGGGGUGAAACUUUGGCGAUGCUGCCCCGAGGGGACGUGCCCUGCCCGGCCCGGCUGCGCGCCUGCCUUUCCGGAGGAAUAUCCUCGGAUACCUGGGCUCCUACCUCGGCCAAGUCGUUCCUGCGCCUGCCUCUGGAGUUGCUAUAGAAACUGCCGUGCGCCAGAGCCAAGCACCCGCAGGGAGCCCCUGCUCCGCAGCCCAGCGAUCCCCCAGCGGCCGGGGCACACGGGGGCAGCUCGCAGGGCUGGCGGCGAGCCCCGAGGCCGGGCAGAGGGGCGCCUCCGAGAGCCGGGCGCCUCCAAGAGCGUUGCUACAUCUCCCUGGCGUCCCAGCCCUGGCGCCGGACAGCUCCAUUCUCAUCCCAACCUUCGUGACUUGGCACCCUAAACCAUGCAGUGAACCCGGCCCUGCGUGGUCCGGCCCCGGCAGAGGCUCCGGGCACGUCCGCCAGCCACAGCGCCGCUUGGCCGUUUCAGGCCCGUUUUUCUGCGAAAAAGCACCGAUCUGGCGCUGAGGCUGCAGCGGGGCAUUACUGCAUUAGCGGCUGUUUAAUGUCAGAGGAGCAUGUUCAUGCGCCGCAUCCAAGCGGUUUUGAGUGCCUUAGUUUUCAGCAUCAUUUGCUUGUUUACUAGCAGAAAUUAGGAAUAUGACUUGCAGCUUCUAAUGAGCGCUCGAGCCGUGAUAGCGGCAAUUGGUGAGCAGAGAUAGUGAGGGGAAGAUUCAUCACUAUGUAAAGAUUCAUUAUCCCAUAAAGAUAUUUGCCGUGGUUACACUAAAAUAGUAGCUCAUCGGGUGGCCCUGCUUUUCUGGGGUUCGGCUCUGGAAGGGAACAGAAAGAAAAAUCUGUGACCUUCCCUAAAAGUUUGGCUUUCUCAUUCUUUUCUAUCUCUACUUUUGGGCGCAGGACCAGAAUCCUGCCCAAACGACGGGAAGAGAGAGGCUAGAGCGAUAGCCAAGGACAGGUCAGGAUGGAUGGAGAAAUCUUCAGUCAAAAGGCAAAAUAAAUCACGAUGGCCUUGAACGCGCUGGAAGACU